GACGAAGGGGGCUAGCGUUGUUCGGAAUUACUGGGCGUAAAGCGCGUGUAGGCGGUUAUCCAAGGCAGGUGUGAAAGCCUUGAGCUCAACUCAAGAAAUGCACUUGGUACUGGGUGACUAGAGGACCGGAGAGGAUAGUGGAAUUCCCAGUGUAGUGGUGAAAUACGUAGAGAUUGGGAAGAACACCAGUGGCGAAGGCGGCUAUCUGGACGGUUUCUGACGCUAAGACGCGAAAGCGUGGGGAGCGAACAGG
rnacentral:rRNA from 1 species